CAAGAUCCAAUGAGUAUGAAACAUUUACCAUAGUUCAAGCAUACAAUAGUGACUCCACCAUAAAAAAUUUUACCACAAUUGAACCAUAGGAAGUACAUAUAUAAAUUAUUUGAAUUCAUUAUAGAAAACAUAGAUUUAAAGGUAUGGCAAAAAGUUUGUACUAAAGUAUACCAUACUAUAUAUUCACGGUGUAGAUCUACUCAUCCGGAGUCCAAUAAAAUUGAGUUUUUCAUUUUAUGAUUUGCCUAUGAUUUAUUAUGAUUUUUCAAAGAUUCAGCGAAAAUAAAUAAAAAAAUAAAAAGCCAAAACCACCCUCUAAAACCACUCGAGGAGGUGAAGUAGUCCAUCCUACAUAGUUGGACGGGUUAUGUAGACUUUUUCCUAAUAACUUUUAGAAACAAUUAGGUUUUAAAUAAAUGUAGAGCGCCCUGGUCACACGAUUGAUAACUUAUAUAUGAAUUUGGUGCAGACACCUGCUUGGGAAUGGUAUAGACGAUACAUACAAGCUUGAAUUUAAGUGAAAAAAAUAUUUUAUUUUUCAUGCAAUCAUUUUUCGUGAUGUACAAUUUUACCUAAUGUUUGUUUUCCAAAAAAACAAUUUUAGAAAAUCAUUCCACCAGCAGGACAAUCUAUUAUUUUUUAAAUUCAUCAAAUAUAUAGGUUAUAUUUUUGUAAUUUCUAUUUGAUUUCGUAUGGCCUUGGCCUGUUUUUAAUGGAAUUAAAUCGCAUAAAUUCUGAGGUCCAUAUUAAAUGCUAGUGGAAAUAAAUCUAAGUUUCAUAUAGGAUUUUGACUAAGACUAAACAUUGACUCAACUUAAACAUGUAGACUGGUUGCGAAGCUG
rnacentral:lncRNA from 1 species